rnacentral:rRNA from 1 species
AACGAACGCUGGCGGCAGGCUUAACACAUGCAAGUCGAGCGCCCCGCCAGGGGUGCGGCCGACGGGUGAGUAACGCGUGGGAACGUACCUUUUGGUUCGGAACAACUCCGGGAAACUGGAGCUAAUACCGGAUAAGCCCUAACGGGGAAAGAUUUAUCGCCGAAAGAUCGGCCCGCGUCUGAUUAGCUAGUUGGUGAGGUAACGGCGCACCAAGGCGACGAUCAGUAGCUGGUCUGAGAGGAUGAUCAGCCACACUGGGACUGAGACACGGCCCAGACUCCUACGGGAGGCAGCAGUGGGGAAUAUUGGACAAUGGGCGCAAGCCUGAUCCAGCCAUGCCGCGUGAGUGAUGAAGGCCUUAGGGUUGUAAAGCUCUUUUGUCCGGGAAGAUAAUGACGGUACCGGAAGAAUAAGCCCCGGCUAACUUCGUG